UGGCGGACGGGUGAGUAACACGUGAGGAACAUGCCUAUCGGCGGGGGAUAGCCGGCCCAACGGCCGGGUAAUACCGCGUACGCUCACUGGGGGGCAUCCCCUGGUGAGGAAAGCAGCAAUGCACCGAUAGAGUGCCUCGCGGCCUAUCAGCUAGUUGGUGAGGUAAUGGCUCACCAAGGCUACGACGGGUAGCUGGUCUGAGAGGAUGAUCAGCCACAUUGGGACUGAGACACGGCCCAGACUCCUACGGGAGGCAGCAGUGGGGAAUCUUGCGCAAUGGCCGAAAGGCUGACGCAGCGACGCCGCGUGUGGGAUGACGGCGCUUCGCGUCGUAAACCACUGUCGGACGGGACGAAAAGAGCUAUAAAGCUCCGAGACGGUACCGUCAAAGGAAGGAUCGGCUAACUACGUGCCAGCAGCCGCGGUAAU
rnacentral:rRNA from 1 species